rnacentral:lncRNA from 1 species
UAUAUUCAUGAAGUGUUUUCAAGUGGAUCGAGCUGUGGAACUGCUGAUUUCCUGACAACACAGAUGGGAUUUGCUCCAAAGAACCAUUUCUAAACAGCUUGGUAUCUUCCAGGUUACAGGCCAUUAAGCUCCAGAUCUCCAGUUUGUACUGCCUCAGGGAUAUCAACUACCAUCAACGCUGGCGCCUGUCCCCUACCAUCUAGAAGCUCUUGACCUUCAAUUGAUGUCUGUCUUGACUUCAACCUCUUAAGAUAUGCCCUUCCUCUCCUCAUGCAAGCCUUUUAUGACAACUGGGGAUCAGGUCAGCAAUGCAAAGCAGGGUCCUUCCAUGCUCAGAAUGGAUGGAUGUAGAAGAAAGGCCAAAAACAAGGGUGGACAUUUCCAAACUUCAAUAAUUAAACUCUGACACCUUGGAGCCUGA